UACGAAGGGUGCAAGCGUUAAUCGGAAUUACUGGGCGUAAAGGGCGCGUAGGCGGCCAGCACAAGUCAGUUGUGAAAUCUCCGAGCUUAACUCGGAAAGGUCAACUGAUACUGUGCGGCUAGAGUGCGGAAGGGGCAACUGGAAUUCUUGGUGUAGCGGUGAAAUGCGUAGAUAUCAAGAGGAACACCUGCGGCGAAGGCGGGUUGCUGGGCCGACACUGACGCUGAGGCGCGAAAGCCAGGGGAGCGAACGGG
rnacentral:rRNA from 1 species